AUGAGCCCAGGUCGGAUUAGCUAGUAGGUGGGGUAAUGGCUCACCUAGGCGACGAUCCCUAGCUUGUCUGAGAGGAUGACCAGCCACACUGGAACUGAGACACGGUCCAGACUCCUACGGGAGGCAGCAGUGGGGAAUAUUGCACAAUGGGCGCAAGCCUGAUGCAGCCAUGCCGCGUGUAUGAAGAAGGCCUUCGGGUUGUAAAGUACUUUCAGCGAGGAGGAAGGCAUUGUGGUUAAUAACCGCAGUGAUUGACGUUACUCGCAGAAGAAGCACCGGCUAACUCCGUGCCAGCAGCCGCGGUAAUACGGAGGGUGCAAGCGUUAAUCGGAAUUACUGGGCGUAAAGCGCACGCAGGCGGUCUGUCAAGUCGGAUGUGAAAUCCCCGGGCUCAACCUGGGAACUGCAUUCGAAACUGGCAGGCUAGAGUCUUGUAGAGGGGGGUAGAAUUCCAGGUGUAGCGGUGAAAUGCGUAGAGAUCUGGAGGAAUACCGGUGGCGAAGGCGGCCCCCUGGACAAAGACUGACGCUCAGGUGCGAAAGCGUGGGGAGCAAAGCAGGAUUAGAUACCCUGGUAGUCCACGCCGUAAACGAUGUCGACUUGGAGGUUGUUCCCUUGAGGAGUGGCUUCCGGAGCUAACGCGUAAGUCGACCGCCUGGGAGACGCCGCAAU
rnacentral:rRNA from 1 species